rnacentral:rRNA from 1 species
GGCGGCGUGCUUAAUACAUGCAAGUCAACUUGACUUUAGAUAGCAAUAUCGAAAAGUAGGGUGGCGCACGGGUGCGUAACGCGUAGGUAAUCUGCCCUGAGGUCUGACAUAACCCGUCGAAAGGCGGGCUAACAUCAGAUGAUAUAUAAUCACGACAUCGUGGAAAUAUCAAAUCUUCGGAGCCUUGGGAUGAGCCUGCGUCUGAUUAGGUAGUUGGCGGAGUAAAAGCCCACCAAGCCUACGAUCAGUAGCUGGUCUGAGAGGAUGAUCAGCCACACUGGAACUGAGACACGGUCCAGACUCCUACGGGAGGCAGCAGUAAGGAAUAUUGCUCAAUGGGGGAAACCCUGAAGCAGCAACGCCGCGUGAAGGAUGAAAUACUUUUGUAUGUAAACUUCUGUAAGAUGGGAAAAAUAUUCUCCUCGGGAGAAUUGAUUGUACCAUCAGAGUAAGCCCCGGCUAACUACGUG